rnacentral:rRNA from 1 species
GAUGAACGCUAGCGGCAGGCUUAAUACAUGCAAGUCGAGGGGCAGCAGGUCUGUAGCAAUACAGAUGCUGGCGACCGGCAAACGGGUGCGGAACACGUACACAACCUUCCUUUAAGUGGGGAAUAGCCCAGGGAAACUUGGAUUAAUACCCCGUAAAUUAUGAAGUGGCAUCACUUUAUAAUUAAAGCUCAGGCGCUUAAUGAUGGGUGUGCGGCUGAUUAGGUAGUUGGCGGGGAACGGCCCACCAAGCCUGCGAUCAGUAACUGGUGUGAGAGCACGACCAGUCACACGGGCACUGAGACACGGGCCCGACUCCUACGGGAGGCAGCAGUAAGGAAUAUUGGUCAAUGGACGCAAAGUCUGAACCAGCCAUGCCGCGUGGAGGAUGAAGGUCCUCUGGAUUGUAAAACUUCUUUUAUUUGGGAAAGAAACCCACAGUUUUCUACUGUGGUUGACGGUACCAGAUG